rnacentral:rRNA from 1 species
AUUGAACGCUGGCGGCAGGCCUAACACAUGCAAGUCGAGCGGAGCGGCGGACGGGUGAGUAAUGCCUAGGAAUCUGCCUGGUCGUGGGGGAUAACGUCCGGAAACGGGCGCUAAUACCGCAUACUAUCAGAUGAGCCUAGGUCGGAUUGGCUAGUUGGUGGGGUAAAGGCCUACCAAGGCGACGAUCCGUAACUGGUCUGAGAGGAUGAUCAGUCAAACUGGAACUGAGUAACGUUCCUGAUUCCGACGGUAUGCAGCGUUGGGGAAUAUGGGACAAUGGGCGAAAGCCUGAUCCAGCCAUGCCGCGUGUGUGAAGAAGGUCUUCGGAUUGUAAAGCACUUUAAGUUGUUAGGCGUUACCAACAGAAUAAGCACCGGCUAACUUCGUGCCAGCAGCCGCGGUAAUUC